rnacentral:rRNA from 1 species
UCCGGUUGAUCCUGCCGGACCUGACUGCUAUCGGAUUGAUACUAAGCCAUGCGAGUCAUUGUAGCAAUACAAGGCAGACGGCUCAGUAACGCGUAGUCAACCUAACCUAUGGACGGGAAUAACCUCGGGAAACUGAGAAUAAUGCCCGAUAGAACAUUAUGCCUGGAAUGGUUUAUGUUCCAAAUGAUUUAUCGCCGUAGGAUGGGACUGCGGCCUAUCAGUUUGUUGGUGAGGUAAUGGCCCACCAAGACUAUUACAGGUACGGGCUCUGAGAGGAGUAGCCCGGAGAUGGGUACUGAGACACGGACCCAGGCCCUAUGGGGCGCAGCAGGCGAGAAAACUUUGCAAUGCGCGAAAGCACGACAAGGUUAAUCCGAGUGGUUUCUGCUAAAGGAACCUUUUGUCGGUCCUAGAAACACCGAUGAAUAAGGGGUGGGCAAGUUCUGGUGUCAGCCGCCGCGGUAAAACCAGCACCUCAAGUGGUCAGGAUGAUUAUUGGGCCUAAAGCAUCCGUAGCCUGCUUUGUUAGUUUUCGGUUAAAUCUGUACGCUCAACGUACAGGCUGCCGGGAAUACUGCAAAGCUAGGGAGUGGGAGAGGUAGACGGUACUCGGUAGGAAGGGGUAAAAUCCUUUGAUCUAUUGAUGACCACCUGUGGCGAAGGCGGUCUACCAGAACACGUCCGACGGUGAGGGAUGAAAGCUGGGGGAGCAAACCGGAUUAGAUACCCGGGUAGUCCCAGCCGUAAACCAUGCAAACUCAGUGAUGCAUUGGCUUGUGGCCAAUGCAGUGCUGCAGGGAAGCCGUUAAGUUUGCCGCCUGGGAAGUACGUACGCAAGUAUGAAACUUAAAGGAAUUGGCGGGGGAGCACCACAAGGGGUGAAGCCUGCGGUUCAAUUGAAGUCAACGCCGGG